rnacentral:rRNA from 1 species
ACGGAGAAUCAGCAAUGAUUCUUAGUGGCGAACGGGUGAGUAACGCGUAGACAACCUGCCUUCUAGAUGGGGACAACACUGCGAAAGUGGUGCUAAUACCGAAUGUUGUAUUAAGCCUGCAUGGGCUUGAUACUAAAGGUGGCCUCUAUUUAUAAGCUAUCACUAGAAGAUGGGUCUGCGUCUGAUUAGCUAGUUGGUGAGGUAAUGGCUCACCAAGGCGAUGAUCAGUAGCCGGUCUGAGAGGAUGAACGGCCACACUGGGACUGAGACACGGCCCAGACUCCUACGGGAGGCAGCAGUGGGGAAUCUUCCGCAAUGGACGAAAGUCUGACGGAGCAACGCCGCGUGAGUGAAGAAGGUUUUCGGAUCGUAAAGCUCUGUCUUUGAGGACGAAUGUGUCUAAUGUGAAUAAUGUUAGAUAAUGACGGUACUCGAGGAGGAAGCCACGGCUAACUACGUGCCAGCAGCCGCGGUAAUACGUAGGUGGCAAGCGUUGUCCGGAAUUAUUGGGCGUAAAGCGCGCGCAGGCGGGAUAUUAAGUCUGUUUUAAAAGUUCGGGGCUCAACCCCGUGAUGGAAUGGAAACUAAUAUUCUUGAGUGCAGGAGAGGA